rnacentral:rRNA from 1 species
UACGGAGGGCGCGAGCGUUGUCCGGAAUCACUGGGCGUAAAGGGCGCGUAGGCGGCAGGCCAAGCGUGCGGUGAAAGUCCGGGGCUCAACCCCGGAUCUGCCGUGCGGACUGGUUUGCUAGAGCACUGUAGAGGCGAGUGGAAUUCCGGGUGUAGCGGUGGAAUGCGUAGAGAUCCGGAGGAACACCAGCGGCGAAGGCGGCAUCCUGGACUGGUCCUGACGCUCAGGAGCGAAAGCGUGGGGAGCGAUCCGG